AACGAAAGAUAGAUGGAUGGACAGAUAGGGAAAUAGAAUAGCUCAAUUUGUUUAAACCUAGAAUAUAUUUUCUGUAUGGCUUAAAUAUAAAAGAAAAACCUAAAACGCUUUUAUACGUCUAUCUUAAUGAUUAUACAUCCACAUUUCAGAGUACUUCUCAUAGGGCUUCUGUUGAUGUACUCUAACUUGCUAAGAAAAAUUAUAUUUAAUUUUCCAACUAAUUUUUAACUGUCGAAAAGUGUGAAGAUUGAACAACACCUACAAUCCCGUUGAACUGGCCAAAAAGAAUGGGAUCUCUCCAGAACAAGUCAGUUCAACUCAGUAAAUACUUAUUGACUACCUGCCCUGUACCACUCAGUGUGCCAGAUGCUGAAGAUGAGGGAUCCUUGCGUGCAUAGAGUUUAUAAU
rnacentral:lncRNA from 1 species